rnacentral:rRNA from 1 species
GACGAACGCUGGCGGCGUGCUUAACACAUGCAAGUCGAACGGAAAGGCCCUGCUUUUGUGGGGUGCUCGAGUGGCGAACGGGUGAGUAACACGUGAGUAACCUGCCCUUGACUUUGGGAUAACUUCAGGAAACUGGGGCUAAUACCGGAUAGGAGCUCCUGCUGCAUGGUGGGGGUUGGAAAGUUUCGGCGGUUGGGGAUGGACUCGCGGCUUAUCAGCUUGUUGGUGGGGUAGUGGCUUACCAAGGCUUUGACGGGUAGCCGGCCUGAGAGGGGGACCGGCCACAUUGGGACUGAGAGACGGCCCAGACUCCUACGGGAGGCAGCAGUGGGGAAUAUUGCACAGUGGGCGGAAGCCUGAUGCAGCAACGCCGCGUGCGGGAUGACGGCCUUCGGGUUGUAAACCGCUUUCGCCUGUGACGAAGCGUGAGUGACGGUAAUGGGUAAAGAAGCACCGGCUAACUACGUG